GCGGUCGUGGUCUAGUCCGGUCUAGGAUAAAGGCUUCCCAAGCCUUGGAUCCCGGGUUCAAAUCCCGGCGACCGCACCA
rnacentral:tRNA from 2 species